UACGGAGGGGGCUAGCGUUGUUCGGAAUUACUGGGCGUAAAGCGCACGUAGGCGGCGAAGCAAGUUGGGUGUGAAAGCCCUGGGCUCAACCCAGGAAGUGCAUUCAAAACUGCUUCGCUUGAAUCUCGGAGGGGGUCAGAGAAUUCCCGGUGUAGAGGUGAAAUUCGUAGAUAUCGGGAGGAAUACCAGUGGCGAAGGCGCUGACCUGGACGAAGAUUGACGCUGAGGUGCGAAAGCGCGGGGAGCAAACAGG
rnacentral:rRNA from 1 species